GAUAUCACUAGUCGACUAUUGUUCUACCACCACAGACAGUCUACCGAAUCCGAAGAUGAGAGUUAUCUUGAUUUUCGCUUUGCUCUGCGCUUUGAUGCUGUGCUCUGAAAGUCGCCACCGUGGACGUUGGAGAUGGUGCAGGAGAAGAAUUCACCGCCUGAAACAUAUGGCUGAGAGCUUAAGAGCCGAGUUGGAUGCAUGCCUUGCGCAACCGCCACCCGGACGUCCAUAGGGUUCGCCUGUCCAGAGGUACACGAGUCCUGCAAAGGAAGACAACUCCAGCUAACCAAGGAAGACAACUCUAGCCAUCCAAGGAAGACAACUCCCGAUAACGAUUAAAUAAAAGUCGCCGUGUACCCA